rnacentral:tRNA from 1 species
UCCCUGGUAGCUCAGAUGGUAAAGCAUUUGCCUGCAAUGUGGAGGACCCGGGUUCGAUCCCUGGGUUGGGAA